rnacentral:lncRNA from 1 species
UUACUUUUUCUUUUCCUCUCGUUUCUUUCCCCCUUUUUCUAACCUACUCACUCACACACACACAUGCACAGAAAGGGGGAGAAGAGACAGAGGGUCUCUCCUCUCGUCUUUCUUCUCCUUUCUUUCUUUCCCUUUUUUUCGCUUGAUGAGAGAGGGGAAAUUGGGAGCAAGAGGAGGGAAGAAGAAGAAGAUGAGUAGGAGGAGAAGAAGAUGAACUAAGGAGGAGAGUGCAGGAGAGAGAGAGGUCAUGGGAAAGGGAAGAAACCCAAGGAAGAAGAGGGAGGCGACGGUGGAGCGGGGGGGAAGGUGUUGAGAUGUGAGAGGAACUUAGUGAGCCGAAGAGGUGAGAGAGAGAGGCAGUGGGGGGUUCGGGUUUAGGAAAUUUCAGGAUAGAACAGAAGAAAUCCCCUCCUUGUUCUCGGUUUCAAGAGCCAACAAGGCACUAUCUAAGGAGCGAGCCCUACUGGGGGAUUGGGUUUGGGCUUGGACCGACUCAAGUCAUCACAUUCUCCCCUUAAUUAAAUUUCAUCCUCGAAAUUAAAAUACCUGGGUUCUCAAAUUGAUAUGGAUAUUUUUGCUUUACUUCUUCCUCUAAUUCCCAAGUGGCCUCUUGCACUGAAUGAUUACUCUACUGCACUUUAAUAUAUGGAAUAACAUGUCUUCGCAAUACUUGAUCUUUUCGGUCCACUAUUUGCAUAGGAUACUCUUCAUAGCUUAGAUCCUCUCUGAGUUGUAAGGGUUCAUAUUCUAUAAUAUGAUUGGGAUUGGCGAUGUAUUUCCUCAACAUAGAAACAUGGAAGACCUUAUGUACUCCAACAAGUAAAGGAGGUAAAGCAAGUCUAUAAGCCAUCGCACCAACUCUUUCCAAUACUUCAAAUGGACCAACAUAUCUAGGAUUCAUCCUGAAUUCCAAAUCUUACAGUUCCUUUGGUAGGUGAUACCUUCAAAAAUACAUGAUUACCAAUUUGGAAUUUUAAUCUUCGCCUCUUGGUAUCUGUAUAACUCUUUUGUCUACUCUUAGCUGUACGGAGAUGCUCUCUGAUUAAGCGGAUCUUUUCUACUGUUUGCUAUACCAGUUCAGAUCCUAAUAAUCUUUUCUCACCCACAUUAUCCAAACAUAUUGGGGAUCUACAUUUUCUUCCAUACAAUGCCUCAUAAGGUGUCAUUUGUAUACUGGAUUGAUAACUAUUACUAUAGGCAAAUUCUACUAAAGGUAGAUGUUUUUCCCAAGAGCCUUUAAGAUCAAUGACACAAGCUCUUAAUAGGUCCUCUAAUAUCUAAAUAAUUCUUUCUGACUGUCCAUUUGUCUGGGGGUGGAAAAUAGUACUAAAAUUUAAUUUAGUUUCUAGGGCUUUUGCAAAUAUUUCCAAAAUUGAGAUACAAAUCUUGUAUCUCUAUCUGAUACAAUAGUCACAGGGAUACGAUGCAACCUUACAAUUUCCUUAAUAUAAAGUUUAGCUAGUCUUUCAAGAGUGUGACCAACUCUAUAUGCCAAGAAAUGAGCUGAUUUGGUUAAUCUAUCAAUAAUUACUCAUAUUGCAUCAUUACUCUUAGGAGUUCUCGGUAAUCUAGUCACACAAUUCAUAGUGAUGUGCUCUCAUUUUCACUCAGAAAUUGAUAAUGACUGCAGUAAUCCUCUCGAUCUCGGGUGCUCAGUUUUCACAAAUUGACAUGUUAAAUAUUGGGCAACAAACUGCAUAAUUUCUCUUUUCAUAUUAUUCCACUAGAACACUCUUGUCAAAUCCAUGGACUUGUGCUAUCAGGAUGUAUGGUAUAGCUAGUGUUAUGAGCCUCUUCUAGGAUUUCUCUCUUCAACUCUGGAGCAUUAGGUAUACAUAUUCUGUUUCUAUAUCUCAAGGACCCAUCAUCAUGAACUUGAAAUUCUGGCUGUAUCCCAGAAUUCGUUUGUUUUCCAAUUUUCUGCAACUUUGAAUCACCAUCUUGAGCAACUUUAAUUCUUUCAAUCAGAUUAGGUUGUACUUUGAAAUAUGCUAUUUGUGCCCCAUGUUCAUACUUCCGUACUUCAAUAUUGAAUUUCAUCAGAUCCAUCAGAAUAUGCUUCUGUGUAGUAACCAAUGCUGCCAAAUUACCAAUGGAUUUUCUGCUCAAUGCAUCAGCUACUGUAUUGGCUUUUCCUGGAUGAUAAUUAGUAGAUAAGUCAUUAUCCUUCAUCAAUUCUAACCAUCUUCUCUGCCUUAUGUUUAGUUUCUUCUGAAUAAAGAUAUACUUUAGACUUUUAUGAUCGGUGAAUAUUUCACAAUGCUCACCAUAUAAAUAGUGUCUCCAAAUUUUAAGUGCAAAAAUUACUGCUGCUAACUCCAAGUCAUGUGUAGGAUAAUUUUGUUCAUAAGAUUUUAGUUGCCUGAAAAUAUAUGCUAUAAUUUUAUCGUGCUACAUUAAAACACAUCCCAAAUCCUUCUUAGAAGCAUCGCUAUAUAUUGUGAAACCUCCACUUCCAGAAGGUAUAGUGAGGAUAAGGGCUGAUAUCAGUCUUCUUUUUAAUUAUUCAAAAUUUCUUUCACACUCUUCAGGCCGUUCAAAGUUGAUUCCUUUCUGAGUCAAAUGAGUCAAAGGUGCAGCAAUUUUAGAAAAUCCUUCUAUAAAUCUGAGAUAAUAUCCAGCAAAACCCAAAAAAAUAUGGAUUUCAGACACACUGUCGGCCUAUUCCAGCUCAUAAUAGCUUAUCUUUUUAGGAUUCAUAGAAAUACCUUUUUUAGGUAUUAAAUGUCCAAGGAAUGCCACUCUGUUCAGCCAAAACUCACAUUUGCUAAGCUUGACAAAUAACUUUUUUUCUCUUAAGAUUUGAAGGAUACAUCUUAGAUCUCUUCAUGCUCUACUUUACUCUAGGAAUAGAUCAGAAUGUCAUCAAUAAAUACUACUACAAACUGAUUCAAGAAAGGCUGGGGCAUUUGUUAAUUCAAAUGGCAUCACCAAAAAUUUGUAAUGCCUAUAUUAGGUUCGAAAGGCAGUUUUAGGCACAUUCUCUGCUUUGAUCUUUAAUUGACGAUACUUUGAUCUGAGAUCAGUUUUGGAAAACACUUGGGCUCCGUGCAGUUGAUCAAACAAAUCAUCAGUUCUAGAUAAGAGAUACUUGUUUUUAAUAAUCACCUUAUUCAAUUCUUUGUAAUCAAUACAAAAUUAUAGGCUCCCAUCCUUUUUUUUUCACAAAUAGAACUGGAGCUCCCCAAGGUGAUAUGUUAGGUCUAAUAAAAUCUUCAUCUAAUAAUUCUUGAAGCUGUUCCUUUAACUCCUUCAAUUCUGUCGGAGCUAUUCUUACGGAGCUUUAGAAAUUGGCCCUGUAUCAAGAACUAGGUCAAUGAAGAAUUUAAUCUUCCUAUCUAGUGGUAGUCUUGACGAGUCAUCUGGAAACAUAUUAGAAAACUCAUGCACAAUGAGGAUAUUUUCUAAUUUUUGCUCAUUCAUUUGUAUAUCCUUCACAUUAGCCAGAUAUCUUAUACAACCCUUCUUUAAUAUUCGACGAGCUUGCAAGGCUGAUACUGUAUAUGGAGGGACAGUUCUUGUACUUCCUACAAAAUUGAACUCUGGCUGAUCAGGGAUAUGAAAAUUCACGAUCUUUUUAUGACAGUCCACUGAGGCAUAAUAGGUAGUUAACCAAUCCAUUCCUAAAAUCACAUCAAAGUCCCUCAUGUUUAGUAUUAUUAAAUCUGCCACCAACUCCUUACCUCCUAUUAUAACAAUACAAGACUUGCAGACAUAAUUAGUGACUAAUACAUCUCUCACCGGCGUUUCAACAUAUACUACUAUCUCUAAAAGUUCAAACAAUAUACCAUGCUUUGCAACAAAUGUAGUGGAUAUGAAGGAAUGAGUGACACCGGGAUCAAAUAAAGUAUAUGCAUUAAUGUUGGAGUACUGGAACAGUACCUGCCACCAUUGUAUUAGAAGCUUGGGCAUCUUGUUGAGUAAUGGCAUAUACUCGCCCUUAAGUCUGAGGUCUCUGGCUUCCCACUUUACUCUGUCUGGUAGGAGUACUGCUCACUGGUGCUUGAGCUGGCCGAAAAACUGAAGGUGUCGAAGCAGUUUAACUCUCAGCUGGCACUGGACAAGUUGCUAUCCUGUGACCUUUUUGACCACAUCUAAAACAUGUGCUAGUAUUUAAAGGACAAUCCCUAUUAAAAUGAUUCCCUCCACAUUGAAAAUAAUGAAUUGAACUCGCCUGUGACUGUCCAACCACUUCCUAUCGAAUUGGUUUCUUUGAUUGCUAGGUUGAACUUUGUCCAUCCUAUCUCAUGACUGGCCUAAACCUCUUCUUCUGAUCCUCUCUUUCCUUCUAUUCUUGCUCAAUUUCUCUUUCUACUAUUAAUACAAUAUUUACCAUGUCUGUAUAGGUUAUUAACUGCAAAGGUGCUAUUCCUUUUUUGAUUUAUGUUUUGAAACUCAUUUGAAAUUUAUGGACUUUGGUCCCCUCAUCUUCUCCCAUCUUGGGUGCAAACUUAGCAAGCUCAUUAAAUUUGACUUCAUACCGUACCAGUCAUACAUUUCUAUCUCAAAGAGAUAAAUUUUUGCUCUUUUUGGGCUCUAAUGUUGGGAGAAAAAUACUUUUCAUAAAAAACUUUACUGAAUUUAUUCUAGGUGAAGAGCUGUACCUCAAAAGCAUGCUUGGUCUAUACCAUCCUCCACCAAUCCGAGGCCUCACCCUGGAGCAUAUAAGAGGCAUAGGUUAUUUUAUCCUCUGAAUAUUUUAUAACAGUGAAAGCUUUUUCCAUCUCUUUCAACCAAAUUUUAGCAUCUAGUGGUUCAGUAAUUCCUCGAAAAACUAGUGGGGUCAUCUUUCUAAAUUCAGCUAUACUACAAUAUGUAUCGUUUGAGGUCCAACACUGGAGGACUGUGAUUCCUUUUGCUGCAACAUUUGCUGUUGUUGUUACAAAAAUUGUUUCUGCAUUUGUUUUUGAAACUGCAAUUGUUGCUUUUGAAACCACUCCUGCUGUUUUAAUUGUUGAUUCCUGAAUUGUGGCUGCUGUUUCUGUAUCAUUUUUAUCAUGGUCUCCACAAUUUGAAGUACGACAGGCUGUAGUAAUUGCUCAGUUUGAACAUUUUCAGUGGCUAUCUUCUUACCCAUUUGUUGAUCAUUAUUACUAACCUGUUGGUUUGAAGAUUCACUGGUUUGGGAGUGAUCUACAAUACUGGCAAUUUUUUUAACAUGGCGAGGUGCCAUUCUUAUUUACAUUGAGAUAAUAACAAAAUUCAACUAUAAGGGCAUGAAUGAUCAUAAUCUAGCGGUAGCAUUUACAAUAGAUAAAAAAUUUAUUUCUAAGUACUAGAUAACUACCCACCCCACCUACACAACAUGUGUCAAAUUCUAGGACCAAAAUUUUCUAAAAACCUAAACUUAUGCUCUACUACUACUUUAACUGUCAUGCCCCCUAACUCAGGUUCAAACAUCAAGAGCGUGAGCCGCAUAUUUAUAGGAAACCGUCCCUAUAUGCAUGCAAGGCAUCCACUUGUCAAUGAAUUAAUAUAAUCUGUAGUUUAUACCAUUCACAUGCAGGAGAGUAAAUAUCAGAGUACCCAAACUAUUGAUGUGAACAUACUAACCUAGAAUUCUUUUCUAAGCUUUUGCAAUUCAAAACUUUUAGCGGAUAGUUUAAUUACAUAACCUAGAAAACACCAUAAUAUACAUAUAUUUAACAAACCAGUUUUACUAACUACAAAAGCGGCCUUGCCUCUCACUAAUCCCCAAAAAUGCCAGUCCCACUAACUUUUGAACUCUAGAUCUGAAACAACAAAGAAAAAUUAUGAGCUUUCUGAUUUAGUAAGUAACAAAUACAUAUAUAAAACUGAUUUAAACCAUAUUAACAUGCAACUCAAAUGCAUCAUACAAUAUGUGAUGUCAGUCUAAUCAUGUAUCAAAGUUAUGCAGUUAAUGAUAUUCAAAAUACAGUCUUGUAUUAGCUUUUCUAUAACAUGAAAAUCAGUAAGUAGUAUGAAGGUCCAGUAUAUAUAUCCACUUUAUAAUACUAUACUUAAGCACGGAUACUCAUUUCUUUUAGCUCUACAAUUGUUAUUGUGGUACCACGAUACCUCCUGUAGCAAGGGAUCUCAGGUCCAUGCUUUCUCUGUGGUGGGGAUCUCAAGUCCACACUUAUGCCCCAUAGUGGGCAUCUCAAGUUCACGUUUAUGUCCCAUGGUGGGCAUUUCAAUAUCACCACGAUAUCCUCCGUGGUUGGGAUCUCAAGUCCGGACAUCAUACACAGUAGAAUUGAGAGACAGAUGAUAUAUAUAUCAAUAACUACAUAUAAUUCAAUUUUUUUUUUCUUUUUGAUACAUCUUUUAUGUAGCUUCAAUGCAAUUGGAUACAACUUAUUACAACUUGAUACAGCUAUGAUACAUGCGGUUCCACAGGCAAUAAUUACAGUCUAUCAACCUGGUCUGAUCAUAGCAUGUAACAUCAUUUACUUCAACUUAUAACAUUCAUACCACAAGUUUUUCAUUCAUAAUUAUAGAAAUUUGAUGCAACAUGCUAUGUAUGAUGAAAAUAAAUGCAAUUGCGGUCUUUUUUAUCAUUUUAAAGGAAUGUGAUAAAUUCUCGUUUAGUUCUGAUUAAAUACAAUAAAAUGUAAAUGUUACUUAUCUCGCAGGUACCAAUGACUGACAAUCUAAACGCAAUCCUGGAGUUCCUCGGGACCAAAAAAAUUCAACAUCACAUAUAUAUGUCAAAUCAAUGGCAUAUCAACAUUCUUAAAUUUAAUUUUUAAAAUUCCUUCGGAGUCCUAACAUUCUUCCUCAACUUCUUAAAAUUCUAAACUCUAUUUUAUAUACUAGCUAUUGCUAUAACAGGGAAACUACUAAUCUUGUCCGACUUCCUAACACCAACGGAGCAAGAGCACUGCUCAUGAAAUUUAAGGGAAAUGGUAAGGAUAUCAAAGAGAAAGAGAGAGGGGAGAGAGAGAGAGAGAGAGAGANNNNNNNNNNNNNNNNNNNNGAAAAGAAGAUUCCUCCUUUUCUUUCUUACUUUUUCCUCUUAUUGUUUCUUUUCUUCUCAUUUCUUUUUCUGCUUUUUCUAACCGACUCACACACACACACACACACGCACGCACGGAAAGGGGGAGAGGAGACAGAGGGUCUCUCCUCUUGUCUUUCUUCUCCUUUCUUUUUUCCUUUCCUUUUUUUUCCUCUUGACAAGAGAGGGGAAACCAGGAGCAAGAGGAGAGAAGAGAAGAGGAGGAAGAAGAAGAAGAAGAGUAGGAGGAGAAGAAGAUGAACUAAGGAGGAGAGC